ACUGGUGGAAACGGGUUUCUGCGUCUGACACCCCCUCCACGCCGGAUUUUUUGUUUCCACUCAUUUCUUUUCAUUGCUUUUGUUCGCUAUGGUUGAAGAGGGAAAUCGCCGUUGAAAACUCUGCCACCUAGGAUUUUUUUCUCUCCCUGAUUUCCUUCCCCAACCGAGUGAAAUCGACGAAACCGCUGGCCAACUCGGAUUUUUUCUCCCUCGUUGAUUUCUUUGGUGACGCUAGGGUUACCUCCUUCCUCUCCUCCCGCCAGAAAUCUCCCGCGGCUAGGUUUCGUGCUUGAUUUUCGUCUUUCGCCUGGAUUUCGUGCUUGAUUUUCAUAUUUAUCAAAAUUGAACCAAAUACCGGUCUCAAUCCCUGAAUCCUUCGCCCUGAACGACAGAGGAUGGGGAAGAACCAAGCGUACAAAGCGAUGCAGAUGUCGAGGCUGGGCUCGGCCGCCGGCGGGCCUGAGGGGAUCGACGACAGAAUGAUUCUAUGGACUUAAGGAUACAAUAAAUAAGCAGGAAACUCUCUCUCUCUCUCUCUUUUUGUCAACUUUAAGCUAUUUGAGAAUCUCAUUUUUCUUCAUGAUUUUUCCUUCUCAAUUACUUUGUCACUUGUCUACAAUUCGUUGUGCAAUUGUUUUUCCUAUGUUCUUGAGAAAAUACUCUUUAAUUGAAUGCACAAAUUUAGUGUGGAGCUUAUUAGCUUGUGCAUUUAUGUGGUCGGUUGCAUCCAAAGAUAGAGAUAUGUGACUUUUUUUUC